rnacentral:rRNA from 1 species
CCUACGGGUGACUGCAGUGGGGAAUUUUGCGCAAUGCUCGUAAGAGUGACGCAGCGACGCCGCGUGCAUGACGCAGGCCUUCGGGUCUUUAAAUUCUUUUGACGGGGAGUAAAAUUCCUAUAAGUAUGUUUUUCUGUAUUGACCGUACGUGUAUGAGCAGCCCCGGCUAACUCCGGGCCAGCAGGCGCGUUAAUACGGCGGGGGCGAGCGUUGUUCGGAGUGACUGGGCGUAAAGAGCACGUAGGCGGUGUUGUAAGUGAUUAGUCAAAGACUAGAGCUCAACUUUAGCAAGGCUAGUGAUACUAGAAUACUAGAGUAUGAGAGAGGAUUGCAGAAUUCCUGGUGUAGCGGUGAAAUGCGUAGAUAUCAGGAGGAAUACCGUUAGCGAAGGCAGCAAACUGGAUGGCAACUGACGCUGAGGUGCGAAAGCGUGGGUAGCAAACAGGAUUAGAUACCCUUGUAGUC